UGUGUCUGGGCAGAGAUUCUGGACGCCCGGGAGCCGGGUGAGUUUCCUCGGGGUCGCAGACUUCUGCCAUCCGCCACCUUUGGGAGCUGACAGAAAAGCUUUUCACCCCAAAAACUGUUCUUGGUGGAGAGCCUGUGAGCGGCUGUCUCUUGUUUUAUCCUGUCAGUAUACAAACAGCCAGUGACCCCCUUCCCUAAAGCCCGUUUAGGCAGGCGGGCUGCACGCACCCCGCCAGGGACCCCCAGUCUGCAGGGCAAGGUCCGCGGGGGACGGAGGGCCGGGCCCGGCCUGCAGCGGCCUUGGGGGUCUGGCCCUCCUCCUCGCCCGCUGAACCCCAUGGGAACCUCGUGUCCUCCGCGGCCUAAGCGCCGGGUCUUACAGAACAUCGGUGAGGAAACUUUCUCUGCUUUCGGUAGCUCACACGCAGCCCCGUGACGCCGCAGGCCAGAGCGGACGGGGUGACCGCCACCCUCGGCCCUGCGCUGACCACGAGGGAGAAACCCCGCGCUCCGAGGGUCAGGAUAUUUGUAAAGCAAAAAGCCUUGGAAGAUGGAAGCACUGUUUCCUUCUGGAGCAAAGGGAAAAUUUGUUUGGUACAACGAAGAUAACAUCUCUCUUUGGGACAAAAUUCAGCACGUAUGUCUGGCAUUGGGCCCUGGGAAACUGACUCCUGCAGGCCCAGGCUUGUCUGCCUUCUGCUCUGGCCAAUGCGGGGCAUUGACAGAAGGUAGAGCGGGAUCAAGCAGUGGAGUUUCGUCCAGAUCUCCAGCUGGCUUGGAACCUUGCUGAGGCUCCAUCAAGUCUGCCAUUCGAAGAGGAGAUUUACUGAACAUGAGAACUGCCCAAAAAAUGAGAUGGCAUUGUUCCUCAUUCUACAUCAAGAUGUGAUAAAAGAGGUAGCUACCCAAGGCCAAAAUAAUUGUAGUCGCCAUUCACUAAGGGUUCACUCUGUGCCAGAGGCUUUCUGUCUAUCACAUCUAAUUGUCAACAACACUAUAAAUCCUUCCCUUUUGCAAGUGAAAACACUAAGACUAUGUUGUAUAGCAGCUAGAAGUGGAGGGUCUGGAUUCACAUCCUGGCUCUAGCACUUACUGAUUUGAGCAUUGCAGUCUCUCUGCGUCUUCAUUCCAUCACUCCAAAAUGGGAAUAAUGGCCCAAUUUUGUGAGAAUUAUUACGAGACUUAAAUGAAUUCAUAGUGUAGAGCACAGGGCCGGACUCAUAAAAGUAUUUGAUAAAUAUUAGUAACCAUCCUUUAGAGGGAUUUAGCAUU